rnacentral:rRNA from 1 species
GACGAACGCUGGCGGCGUGCUUAACACAUGCAAGUCGAACGGAAAGGCCCUGCUUUUGUGGGGUGCUCGAGUGGCGAACGGGUGAGUAACACGUGAGUAACCUGCCCUUGACUUUGGGAUAACUUCAGGAAACUGGGGCUAAUACCGGAUAGGAGCUCCUGCUGCAUGGUGGGGGUUGGAAAGUUUCGGCGGUUGGGGAUGGACUCGCGGCUUAUCAGCUUGUUGGUGGGGUAGUGGCUUACCAAGGCUUUGACGGGUAGCCGGCCUGAGAGGGUGACCGGCAACAUUGGGACUGAGAUACGGCCCAGACUCCUACGGGAGGCAGCAGUGGGGAAUAUUGCACAAUGGGCGGAAGCCUGAUGCAGCAACGCCGCGUGCGGGAUGACGGCCUUCGGGUUGUAAACCGCUUUCGCCUGUGACGAAGCGUGAGUGACGGUAAUGGGUAAAGAAGCACCGGCUAACUAC